CACCUGCCGAGGUGAUUUUCCUUGCGCCGUCUCUACUGCCGCCACCUCCUGAUCGCCUCUUCUUCUCCCAUCGUCGCCUUGCCCCUCCUUCGCCGCUGUCCAGCAGAUCAUCUCCCCAGGGGUGCUGCGGACGUCCUGCCCCAACCUUCCACAAGCGGUGCCCUAUCUUUCUUUCUGUCCAAUCUUUUUUCCCUCUUGGCUUAAUUCCCCUGCGUGAUCUGCAGCUGUGGGAGAAACCAAGGGCAGCGUGAGGGAGAAGGGGGAAUCAGGGAAAGAGAGCCAAGGUAGGGAAGAAGAGAGAAGGGAGGUGAUUAAGGCCUCGCGUGAUUCACCAAAUCCCCUCACAAAUUUGUGAUCCUUGCUGCUAAGGUUUGAUAAAUUCUAGUGGUGAGCGUGUGGUGCCGGGUUCUCAACAAAGUUAAGGCAAGUGUAAUGACGAACCUCUUGAUGUGUGAUUAUGUUUGUGGCUUACUUGCCGCCCUUGGGCAAUGUUUAUUCAAUGCCUUUAUUUUAUAUGUCAAUUUCUUUAAGCUUCAUGUCAUAAUUUUCUGGUUCUAUCAAAUGUUCAAGAUUCGUGUGUUGCCUUUCAUAUCAUUCAAGUGCCGGGAGUUUGUAUAGCCACCGAUUGUGCUAUUUGAAUGUUAUGUUCAGGUUCUUGUGAAUAAGUGCUGGCCCCCACUUAUUCGGCUUUACCGGUAAAUGCUAAGAAAGUUUUAGGUGACGUCCGUUUCAGACGGAAACUACUGUUUCAUUGUUGUUCCAUUGUUUUUGGAGUUCUGUCGUUCAUGUACUCGCAGUCGCUCUUUCGGUUCUAAUUGUGCUUGCUGAGUAUUCUUACUCACUCUUAUGUUUAUUUGGCUUUUAGGUACUCGCUGAACAAGUUUGCAUGGGAUGGGAGUAACCACUUCAUGAUGAGCACGCACACCUUUUACGAUUCAUUAAACAAAUCUCUAGGCUGAAUAAUUCUUUUGAUAUUGAGAAUUGUUGUGUGGUCGUUUAGAUGUC